AGAAUUCUCAGUUCAAUUCAUAGAAAUAAACAAUUACAGUUCGUAUUGUUGAAUAAACGUGGAAUCCAAGUUAACGGAAUUAACGGUAUAUAUAUUUAACAGUUUAUAAUUGAUUUGAAACGUACUUGACGGUGAUUUGUCACAAUAUCCGCAGGAGCAGUUUUGUCGUGGCAUCCAUUUGCAAUAGACCGGUGAGGAAGAGAAAGUAAGCACUAGUGAAAAUACGGAGAAGUUCAGAUUAUUUCCGGAAAAUACGGAUGUCUAAAAAUCCAAUCAAAUAGACUAUACAGUGAAUAUAAUUGCGGAUGUGAUCCAGAAUACUCCCCGUCUGAAAUCUACCUGAUAUCACUAUUAUUCCAUAAGAUAUAACACAUAUGAAUGUCACUAUAUAAAUCCAGAGAUAUAUACAUAUAUUUACACAGGAGUGUUCUCUAUGAGAAGAAUCAUGUCCACGAUAGGGCGUGUGUAGGUUGUGGCUUUUCCAUUAACGAUAACUCGCACUUCUGCUUUUCGGACAUGUUCGUCUGAACUUUUAAAUGAGUUCACUAUAAUUCCAACGGGCCAUUGGGUACGGCAAAUGUUUUUGUCCUUAAGAAGAAUGACGUCUCCUUCGAUGAGAUCACGGCGAUCUUCGGUCCAUUUUCGUCGUUGUUGUAGUAACGGCAGGUAUUCCUUCCUCCAACGGGACCAGAAAACACUGGCCAGAGCCUGUACUCGUCUCCAUUCGGCAAGACAGAGAUCUCGUUUGUCGAAUUCCCCAAGAUGGUCUGAAGUGAAAACGUAGUCAGUUUUCUGUGUCAAUAACAUAGCCGGAGUUAAUAUUAACGGAUUCUCUGGAUCUGUUGAUACCGGUACCAGAGGUCUAGAGUUCACUAUUGCUGAAACUUCUGCCAUUAGUGUGUUAAGCACGUCAUGCGUAAGACUUCUUCCGGCUGCAUUUAGAAGCAUAGAAUCAAGAAUUCUUCUGGUGAUACCAAUCAUUCUUUCCCAGGCUCCACCCAUGUGGGACGAAUGCGGCGCAUUGAAGAUCCAAGUUGUACCAGAACUGUACAGAAAGUUCUUGAAGGGUCCAUCUUCAACGUUGAUUGAAUCAAUCUUUAAAUCGUCGAU
rnacentral:lncRNA from 1 species